AGUGAACGCUGGCGGCAGGCCUAACACAUGCAAGUCGAACGGAAGAAGGGUGCUUGCUUGGGGUUUCAGCGGGGGACGGGGGAGUGAUGCCUGGGAAUAUGCCGGUCAUGGUUUUAGAACGGCCUGAGGCAGGUGCUGAUACCACAGGAGAGCAGAGGGAGAAGGUGGGGGAGCGUCGGACCUUACGCGCUCAGGGGAGUGUAUGUGCGGUUGUCGGGUUAGUUGGUUGGGGGGCUAAAGGCCCAACAAGGCGACGAUCCGUAGAUGGUCUGAGAGGAUGAUCAGCCACACUGGAACUGAGACACGGUCCAGACUCCUACGGGAGGCAGCAGUGGGGAAUAUUGGACAAUGGGCGCAAGCCUGAUCCAGCCAUGCCGCGUGUGUGAAGAAGGCCUUCGGAUUGUAAAGCCCUUUUAGUUGGGAGGAAGGGCAGUAAGUUAAUACCUUGCUGUUUUGACGUUACCCAAAGAAUAAGCACCGGCUAACUUCGUG
rnacentral:rRNA from 1 species